CCGCACGGGUGAGUAACACGUAUCCAACCUGCCGUCUACUCUUGGACAGCCUUCUGAAAGGAAGAUUAAUACAAGAUGGCAUCAUGAGUUCACAUGUUCACAUGAUUAAAGGUAUUCCGGUAGACGAUGGGGAUGCGUUCCAUUAGAUAGUAGGCGGGGUAACGGCCCACCUAGUCUUCGAUGGAUAGGGGUUCUGAGAGGAAGGUCCCCCACAUUGGAACUGAGACACGGCCCAA
rnacentral:rRNA from 1 species